UCUUUAGCGUAGGUAUAUCCCAUGCAAUGUUUGGGGCAUACUUAUGCUAAAA
rnacentral:pre_miRNA from 1 species